GGGUCAAUAGUCUAGCGGUAUGACGUCGCCUUGACGUGGCGAAGGUCCCCGGUUCAAAUCCGGGUUGACCCA
rnacentral:tRNA from 1 species